UACAGAGGGUGCAAGCGUUAAUCGGAAUUACUGGGCGUAAAGCGUGCGUAGACGGUUAUGUAAGUCAGAAGUGAAAGCCCCGGGCUUAACCUGGGAAUGGCAUUUGAGACUGCAUAGCUAGGGUGCGGAAGAGGGAAGCGGAAUUUCCGGUGUAGCGGUGAAAUGCGUAGAUAUCGGAAGGAACACCAGUGGCGAAAGCGGCUUCCUGGUCCAGCACCGACGUUCAGGCACGAAAGCGUGGGGAGCAAACAGG
rnacentral:rRNA from 1 species